AGUGAACGCUGGCGGCGUGCCUAACACAUGCAAGUCGAGCGGGGUUGAAGCGAGGGGUAACUCAAGCUUCUACCUAGCGGCGGACGGGUGAGUAACGCGUGGGCAACCUGCCUCAAGGUCUGGGAUAACAGCUCGAAAGGGCUGCUAAUACCGGAUAUGCCUAUGGCCUCGCAUGGGGCUAUGAGCAAAGGGGAAACCCGCCUUGAGAUGGGCCCGCAUCCCAUCAGCUAGUUGGUGAGGUAACAGCUCACCAAGGCGACGACGGGUAGCCGGCCUGAGAGGGUGACCGGCCACACUGGGACUGAGACACGGCCCAGACUCCUACGGGGGGCAGCAGUGGGGGAUCUUGCACAAUGGGCGAAAGCCUGAUGCAGCGACGCCGCGUGAGCGAAGAAGGCCUCGGUUGUAAGCUCUGUCUGGAGGGACGAAGGAAGUGACGGUACCUCCGGAGGAAGCCACGGCUAACUACGUGCCAGCAGCCGCGGUAAAGUCACG
rnacentral:rRNA from 1 species